UCAAUAAGCGGAGGAAAAGAAACUAACAAGGAUUCCCCUAGUAACUGCGAGUGAAGCGGGAAAAGCUCAAAUUUAAAAUCUGGCGGUCUCUGGCCGUCCGAGUUGUAAUCUAGAGAAGUGUUAUCCGCGCUGGACCGUGUACAAGUCUCCUGGAAUGGAGCGUCAUAGAGGGUGAGAAUCCCGUCUUUGACACGGACUGCCAGGGCUUUGUGAUGCGCUCUCAAAGAGUCGAGUUGUUUGGGAAUGCAGCUCAAAAUGGGUGGUAAAUUCCAUCUAAAGCUAAAUAUUGGCGAGAGACCGAUAGCGAACAAGUACCGUGAGGGAAAGAUGAAAAGAACUUUGGAAAGAGAGUUAAACAGUACGUGAAAUUGCUGAAAGGGAAACGCUUGAAGUCAGUCGCGUUGGCCGGGGAUCAACCUUGCUUUUGCUGGGCGUACUUUCCGGUUGACGGGUCAGCAUCAAUUUUGACCGUUGGAUAAAGUCCAGGGGAAUGUGGCAUCUUCGGAUGUGUUAUAGCCCUUGGUCGCAUACAACGGUUGGGAUUGAGGAACUCAGCACGCCGCAAGGCCGGGUACUUGUACCACGUUCGUGCUUAGGAUGCUGGCAUAAUGGCUUUAAUCGACCCGUCUUGAAACACGGACCAAGGAGUCUAACAUGCCUGCGAGUGUUUGGGUGGAAAACUCGGACGCGUAAUGAAAGUGAAAGUUGAGAUCCCUGUCGUGGGGAGCAUCGACGCCCGGACCAGACCUUUUGUGACGGAUCCGCGGUAGAGCAUGUAUGUUGGGACCCGAAAGAUGGUGAACUAUGCCUGAAUAGGGUGAAGCCAGAGGAAACUCUGGUGGAGGCUCGUAGCGAUUCUGACGUGCAAAUCGAUCGUCAAAUUUGGGUAUAGGGGCGAAAGACUAAU
rnacentral:rRNA from 1 species